UCCCAGCAUGCACUGCUCCGCUCCACUUCUGCUGAGGUAGGGUCCCAUUUUGGGGUGAUCCUGGUACCUCCCUUUGCGCUGGGCGUUCCUUGCCUGGGGCGCCUCCAGUGGGUGGAGGCUGGGCCAGGGGACAGCCCGUCCGGUGUUCCCAGCCCAGCUUGGGACGCGCUUUGGGGGGUAGCUGGAGAGCCCCGGCUAACCAACCCCCUCUCUCAGCAGAAGGCCUUGCAGCAGGUGGUGAGCGGCAGCUUCCAGAGCGAGUGGCCGGGCCGGGCUGGCGAGAAAGAUGCGGAGAGGAAGAAGAUGAGCCGGAAGAAAUGGUGCCGGAACCCCCGGGCGGUUGGAUCUGGCAGUGGCAAGGGGGGCACUGGGGACCCCAUGGGCACAUGUGACCGGAGCAGCACCGUCCCCGAGGCCCUGGGCCUGUUCUCCGGCCUGGCGGGGGCCCUGCAGUUCCUGCAGAGGUCGUGUGCCGCCUCCAUGCAGACCCGGCUCCUCCUGGGAGACGAGGGGCUCCUGGGGCCCCCGGGCAUCUGCGGGGACACGGAGCCGGACGAGGUGGAGCUGGUGGCCGAGGUGCGGCUGGGGGACGUGGCUGCUGCGUCCGGCAUCUUCAGGAGAGAGCGGGCCUGGAGAGUGCACAAAUCAGGUAGGGACGGGGGUGGGGAGGACAGGCCAUGGGGCCUGUCCCCUCUAGGGGG
rnacentral:lncRNA from 1 species